rnacentral:lncRNA from 1 species
GACGCAUACCGCCUCCUUGCUCUUGUGCACAGACUGCGGCCAUGGUUUUACAAUUGUCCCAAGCAUACAAAUGAAAUGGUUUACAAUACACAGGUAGUCCUAAAGCCUGGGCUUGCACAAUAACAACUGUAAGGGCAAUAUAUGCAGCUAGCAUGUCUGGUGACCAGCAGACAUUUUCAGGGCUGUCAGAACGUACAGCCUCCCUUAGGAUUGAGUCAUAAUGGGAGCAUUCAGGGAUCCAUUGGCGGCAGUAAUUAAUCAUGCCGAGGAAGGUGAGCAACUCCUUCCGAGUAGUGGGUGUAGGAAUCCUCUGAAUGACCUCAAUACAUUUUGGACUCAAUUGUCUGGUGCCUAAAGCCAGAACAAAACCUAAGUAUUCAACCUUUGAUUUACACAAUUGCAUUUUGUGUUUAACAACCUUGUGACCCACAGUUGCUGACAGUAUCCACAGUGCUUGCCUCAUAGUUAGGGCUACAUAACAACAAAUCAUCAACAUUUUGCAAAAAGGACGGAACCAUGACCGGUGGUCCAUGUUUUUUAGAGUAUGUUGGAGUACCAACGAAUAAACAGCUGGGGAAUCCACAUAGCCUUGGGUAAGCGUGUCCAGGUAAACUGAC